rnacentral:lncRNA from 1 species
CUGCGGCGGGUGCUGCAUGGCUCCACUACUCCCUGGCAAUUGGCGGCAACGGACGCCGCUCCACUACCUACAACAGGCUCCACGUGGCAGGCCAUAGUAAUGACCACGGUUCCGCUCCACUACUCCUCAUAACAGACCCCUCCUGACCCCGAACGGCGCACUGACAGGCGGUUACAGACGUCGCCAUCAAUCCGUUACCUCCUCCGCCUAUAAAAAGGGGGACCCAGAUACGUUAUUCUCUAAGCUCUCAUCUUUUUUAUCUCAAAACUCUGCUAAAUUCUCCGUUCGAGCACUCCAUUCUUGUUGAGGCAGAGAACUGACUUGAGCGUCGGAGGGUCUUGUCAGAGCAACCCCACCUCCGGUUUAGACUUCCUUUGCAGGUCCCGACGGCGACCGCGACUUCCUCAACUCCAGCUUCU